rnacentral:rRNA from 1 species
CAGUCGCCACGGUAAUGCGUAGGGUGCAAGCGUUAAUCGGAAUUACUGGGCGUAAAGCGUGCGCAGGCGGUUCGUUAAGACAGAUGUGAAAUCCCUGGGCUUAACCUGGGAACUGCAUUUGUGACUGGCGGGCUAGAGUAUGGCAGAGGGGGGUAGAAUUCCACGUGUAGCAGUGGAAUGCGUAGAGAUGUGGAGGAAUACCGAUGGCGAAGGCAGCCCCCUGGGCCAAUACUGACGCCCAUGCACGAAAGCGUGGGGAGCAAACAGGAUUAGAUACCCCUGUAGUCCCUGUCUCUUAUAU